rnacentral:rRNA from 1 species
AUUGAACGCUGGCGGCAGGCUUAACACAUGCAAGUCGAGCGGGCGAGGUUGCUUCGGUAACUGAGCUAGCGGCGGACGGGUGAGUAAUGCUUAGGAAUCUGCCUAUUAGUGGGGGACAACAUUCCGAAAGGAAUGCUAAUACCGCAUACGCCCUACGGGGGAAAGCAGGGGAUCUUCGGACCUUGCGCUAAUAGAUGAGCCUAAGUCAGAUUAGCUAGUUGGUGGGGUAAAGGCCUACCAAGGCGACGAUCUGUAGCGGGUCUGAGAGGAUGAUCCGCCACACUGGGACUGAGACACGGCCCAGACUCCUACGGGGGGCAGCAGUGGGGAAUAUUGGACAAUGGGCGAAAGCCUGAUCCAGCCAUGCCGCGUGUGUGAAGAAGGCCUUUUGGUUGUAAAGCACUUUAAGCGAGGAGGAGGCUACUUGGAUUAAUACUCUGGGAUAGUGGACGUUACUCGCAGAAUAAGCACCGGCUAACUCUGUGCCAGCAGCCGCGGUAAUACAGAGGGUGCGAGCGUUAAUCGGAUUUACUGGGCGUAAAGCGUGCGUAGGCGGCUUUUUAAGUCGGAUGUGAAAUCCCUGAGCUUAACUUAGGAAUUGCAUUCGAUACUGGGAAGCUAGUGUAUGGGAGAGGAUGGUAGAAUUCCAGGUGUAGCGGUGAAAUGCGUAGAGAUCUGGAGGAAUACCGAUGGCGAAGGCAGCCAUCUGGCCUAAUACUGACGCUGAGGUACGAAAGCAUGGGAGCAAACAGGAUUAGAUACCCUGGUAGUCCAUGCCGUAAACGAUGUCUACUAGCCGUUGGGGCCUUUGAGGCUUUAGUGGCGCAGCUAACGCGAUAAGUAGACCGCCUGGGGAGUACGGUCGCAAGACUAAAACUCAAAUGAAUUGACGGGGGCCCGUACAAGCGGUGGAGCAUGUGGUUUAAUUCGAUGCAACGCGAAGAACCUUACCUGGUCUUGACAUAGUAAGAACUUUCCAGAGAUGGAUUGGUGCCUUCGGGAACUUACAUACAGGUGCUGCAUGGCUGUCGUCAGCUCGUGUCGUGAGAUGUUGGGUUAAGUCCCGCAACGAGCGCAACCCUUUUCCUUAUUUGCCAGCGGGUUAAGCCGGGAACUUUAAGGAUACUGCCAGUGACAAACUGGAGGAAGGCGGGGACGACGUCAAGUCAUCAUGGCCCUUACGACCAGGGCUACACACGUGCUACAAUGGUCGGUACAAAGGGUUGCUACCUAGCGAUAGGAUGCUAAUCUCAAAAAGCCGAUCGUAGUCCGGAUUGGAGUCUGCAACUCGACUCCAUGGAGUCGGAAUCGCUAGUAAUCGCGGAUCAGAAUGCCGCGGUGAAUACGUUCCCGGGCCUUGUACACACCGCCCGU